rnacentral:rRNA from 1 species
UACGUAGGGGCCGAGCGUUGUCCGGAGUUAUUGGGCGUAAAGCGCGCGCAGGCGGCCUCGCGCGCCCGACGUGAAAGCCCCCGGCUUAACCGGGGAGGGUCGUUGGGGACGGCGGGGCUUGAGGGCGGGAGAGGUCGGUGGAAUUCCCGGUGUAGUGGUGAAAUGCGUAGAGGUCGGGAGGAACACCUGUGGCGAAGGCGGCCGACUGGGCCGACCCUGACGCUGAGGCGCGAAAGCGUGGGUAGCAAACAGG